UGAGGCCCGGCGGCCGUGCUUGCCAGGAAGGCCCGGGGCUUGAGGCCCUGGAAGGCCUGGCCCGUUCAGGAGUCCCGGCUGUUUGGGGGAAUGUCCCACGCCCUGUGGGGAUUUGAGCCGUGUCUCCCGGCCGACUUGGGUGUCCCGGUUGGUGUGUGUGGGGACUGGGAGGGGCUUGGUGCGGGCGGGAACCGCCGGGUAGCGACCACGUCUCGUCAGGGGGUUCGUGCCUGCUGCUGGGCACGGGAACGGCUCCGGGGGGGUCUUACGGGCGCUGAGGGGAUUCCGCAUCAUGGAGAGGUCAAGGGGAGUUGGUGGCCGUCACCCUUCGUCAGGGCAGGGUGGCAUCAGUGCUCCCGUGCUGGGGUUCCUGGAGAGCCGGCUGGCACGGACAGACUCUUGUGAGGGCAAGUGGCUGAUCGUGCGUCGGAUGGGUCCAGCAAAGGAGAGAAAGCUUCGGUGCGCGCGCGCUCGCCAGGGAAAGGGUGACAGCGGGUGGGACCGAGAGGGAGAGAGAGAGAGGGAGAGAACAAAGGAAGAGAGAGGGUUUCCGCAGGGGCGGUGAGUCCUGGCGGAAGUCCUGAGGCAGAGGAGGUGCCAGGGGUUUGGGUUUCCCGGUCGUGUCGGGGGUGUGGCGCAGGUUGCCCCAGUGGGCCUGAAUGUGCCUCCGUGGGGCACCUUGUUGCCGUGUUGGGGGGCGGGGAGCCGGCCUUGGGGAUCCAUCUUUCGGGCCCUGGGACGUGGGAGAAGAAUGCCGGGGCCUCUCUCUGUGCCCCUGGCACGCCUCUGUGCAGGCCGGGCCUGCACCACCCCCCGCGCCCGUCCCCCAGGCAGGGUCCGUGUGGCUGCAGACACCCAGAGAGAGGGGAGGCUGGGGAGGCUGGGGAGCCGUGGCAGCCCGAUGCAGUGCGGGUCUCCAGGUGGAGGGGCCCUGGUCCCCUGGCGCCAGCGUGGCCCUUCCUCCUUGUGGAAACCCUUGUGGUGUGUGUGCUCUCUCGCCCUGACCCAGGAGAGCAGCAUGGCGGACCCCUGAUCUUGUGGCGUGCCACCGCGCGAGGCCGAGGAGCUCCCGCAGCCCAGUGGGCGUGGCGUCCUUGUCGCGGCUCUGUGGAGACCUGGCGAUGGAGAGCAGCAUGGCGGACCCCUGAUCUUGUGGCGUGCCACCGCGCGAGGCCGAGGAGCUCCCGCAGCCCAGUGGGCGUGGCGUCCUUGUCGCGGCUCUGUGGAGACCUGGCGAUGGAGAGCAGCAUGGCGGACCCCUGAUCUUGUGGCGUGCCACCGCGCGCGAGGCCGAGGAGCUCCCGCAGCCCAGUGGGCGUGGCGUCCUUGUCGCGGCUCUGUGGAGACCUGGCGAUGGUGAGCGGCCCCUGUCCUCAGUGGUGGAGAACUCGCCCUUGGGGCGCUCGUCUGUCCGGAGCCCCGGGCCACCCCCGCUUCUCGCGGGCUUUGGCCCGGCAGGCCAGCUCCGGGGGCGUGAGGGGGAGCGUCCCGUCCUGCCCAGUGGCUCGUCUGUCUGGGCACGCCCCAAACGCUGCCGUGAUGGAGCGGGUGGGAUGUCCAGGUGCGGAGGCCGUGAAUUUGCCUUGCGGCGGCGGAGCCCGUGCUCGGAUCGAUGAUGACUCCCUCUAAAGCAUUCCUUGGAAAUCUGAACAAAAUGAGUGAGAACUCACUACCGUCUCCUCAUCGAAACUGAGGUCCGCACGUGGCGGCCACCGGGGGCUCGGGGGUAGAUGGGCCCUUGGCCUUGGGGCCUCUGGUGUCAGCAGCCACUCGGGUGAGGUCUGGGGAAGGCGGC
ensembl:lncRNA